UACGUAGGGCGCAAGCGUUUGUCCGGAAUUAUUGGGCGUAAAGAGCUCGUAGGCGGCUUGUCACGUCGAUUGUGAAAGCUCGGGGCUUAACCCCGAGUCUGCAGUCGAUACGGGCUAGCUAGAGUGUGGUAGGGGAGAUCGGAAUUCCUGGUGUAGCGGUGAAAUGCGCAGAUAUCAGGAGGAACACCGGUGGCGAAGGCGGAUCUCUGGGCCAUUACUGACGCUGAGGAGCGAAAGCGUGGGGAGCGAACAGG
rnacentral:rRNA from 1 species